CAAUCAAACCGGGAGAUAGCUGGUUCUCCCCGAAAGCUAUUUAGGUAGCGCCUCGUGAAUUCAUCUCCGGGGGUAGAGCACUGUUUCGGCUAGGGGGCCAUCCCGGCUUACCAACCCGAUGCAAACUGCGAAUACCGGAGAAUGUUAUCACGGGAGACACACGGCGGGUGCUAACGUCCGUCGUGAAGAGGGAAACAACCCAGACCGCCAGCUAAGGUCCCAAAGUCAUGGUUAAGUGGGAAACGAUGUGGGAAGGCCCAGACAGCCAGGAUGUUGGCUUAGAAGCAGCCAUCAUUUAAAGAAAGCGUAAUAGCUCACUGGUCGAGUCGGCCUGCGCGGAAGAUGUAACGGGGCUAAACCAUGCACCGAAGCUGCGGCAGCGAACGUAUCACCCAAGACAACUUUACGGAGUUGACGAUUGACGGAGCGAAGCGACGUCAAAGCGUUCAUUAAAGUCGAGUUGGCUUAGGGAUACGUUCGUUGGGUAGGGGAGCGUUCUGUAAGCCUGUGAAGGUGUGUCGUGAGGCAUGCUGGAGGUAUCAGAAGUGCGAAUGCUGACAUAAGUAACGAUAAAGCGGGUGAAAAGCCCGCUCGCCGGAAGACCAAGGGUUCCUGUCCAACGUUAAUCGGGGCAGGGUGAGUCGACCCCUAAGGCGAGGCCGAAAGGCGUAGUCGAUGGGAAACGGGUUAAUAUUCCCGUACUUGGUGUUACUGCGAAGGGGGGACGGAGAAGGCUAUGUUGGCCGGGCGACGGUUGUCCCGGUUUAAGCGUGUAGGUGUGUGUUCCAGGUAAAUCCGGUUCACUUUAACACUGAGGCGUGACGACGAGGCACUACGGUGCUGAAGCAACAAAUGCCCUGCUUCCAGGAAAAGCCUCUAAGCAUCAGGUAACACGAAAUCGUACCCCAAACCGACACAGGUGGUCAGGUAGAGAAUACCAAGGCGCUUGAGAGAACUCGGGUGAAGGAACUAGGCAAAAUGGUGCCGUAACUUCGGGAGAAGGCACGCUGACACGUAGGUGAAGUGAUUUACUCAUGGAGCUGAAGUCAGUCGAAGAUACCAGCUGGCUGCAACUGUUUAUUAAAAACACAGCACUGUGCAAACACGAAAGUGGACGUAUACGGUGUGACGCCUGCCCGGUGCCGGAAGGUUAAUUGAUGGGGUCAGCGCAAGCGAAGCUCCUGAUCGAAGCCCCGGUAAACGGCGGCCGUAACUAUAACGGUCCUAAGGUAGCGAAAUUCCUUGUCGGGUAAGUUCCGACCUGCACGAAUGGCGUAAUGAUGGCCAGGCUGUCUCCACCCGAGACUCAGUGAAAUUGAACUCGCUGUGAAGAUGCAGUGUACCCGCGGCAAGACGGAAAGACCCCGUGAACCUUUACUAUAGCUUGACACUGAACAUUGAGCCUUGAUGUGUAGGAUAGGUGGGAGGCUUUGAAGUGUGGACGCCAGUCUGCAUGGAGCCGACCUUGAAAUACCACCCUUUAAUGUUUGAUGUUCUAACGUGGACCCGUAAUCCGGGUUGCGGACAGUGUCUGGUGGGUAGUUUGACUGGGGCGGUCUCCUCCUAAAGAGUAACGGAGGAGCACGAAGGUUGGCUAAUCCUGGUCGGACAUCAGGAGGUUAGUGCAAUGGCAUAAGCCAGCUUGACUGCGAGCGUGACGGCGCGAGCAGGUGCGAAAGCAGGUCAUAGUGAUCCGGUGGUUCUGAAUGGAAGGGCCAUCGCUCAACGGAUAAAAGGUACUCCGGGGAUAACAGGCUGAUACCGCCCAAGAGUUCAUAUCGACGGCGGUGUUUGGCACCUCGAUGUCGGCUCAUCACAUCCUGGGGCUGAAGUAGGUCCCAAGGGUAUGGCUGUUCGCCAUUUAAAGUGGUACGCGAGCUGGGUUUAGAACGUCGUGAGACAGUUCGGUCCCUAUCUGCCGUGGGCGCUGGAGAACUGAGGGGGGCUGCUCCUAGUACGAGAGGACCGGAGUGGACGCAUCACUGGUGUUCGGGUUGUCAUGCCAAUGGCACUGCCCGGUAGCUAAAUGCGGAAGAGAUAAGUGCUGAAAGCAUCUAAGCACGAAACUUGCCCCGAGAUGAGUUCUCCCUGAGACUUAGAGUCUCCUGAAGGAACGUUGAAGACGACGACGUUGAUAGGCCGGGUGUGUAAGCGCAGCGAUGCGUUGAGCUAACCGGUACUAAUGAACCGUGAGGCUUAACCUUACA
rnacentral:rRNA from 1 species